GUGGUUAUCGUCGGCAAACGCGCUCCCCGACCGAAGAGACGGCCGGAGCGCUCGUCCUCUUCCACGCUGGCGGCCAAACCACCCGGAUCCAGCUUCAUCUUCCACUCCGGCAGCCGAAUCACCUCGAGUUUGCGGAACACCGGAUCUGCUCAGGAGUAGGGUUUCAUUGAGACUUUGAGAGCUACCUGCCAAUUGAGAGGCAUAUGCAAGUAAGGUUUACACCUGGGUGAUUUUGAUCAAUUUGGCGAACCUAUGUACAAAGCUGGUGCAUAUCGGAGGGCCACAGGUGUACAACCCGCCCCCAAAGAGGUGAUUUGCCGAAGGCUCCAAGGAAAUUGCCGAAAUGCACGAACUGUGGGGUGGUUGGACAUCGUCGCAAUGCGUGUGGCACUAAGAAGAGCAGGCCGUUUGAGCCAAACUUCCUCUAGUUACAAUCUUCAUCGCAGUGAUGGUUUAUGUAGUCGGCUUUGCAAUAUUUGUGGCAACUAUUUCUAUUUUAUGAUGCACAUGUUUCAUUUGCUGCC